rnacentral:rRNA from 1 species
AAGGAACGUUGUUGUUUGCGAGGUCUCGAUCAUUUACAUGGACCCACUUCUCAUUCCAUUUGUGGGAAUUUGAUGAUUUAUAAACCGUCCCCAACGAGCGAAAGGUUCAUGUUUGAACAUGAUGAAUCACUUCGUGCCGACCUGUUGCCCAUAAACUUUCCUGCCUCAUAUGAGAAUGGAAAACUGGAAGAUUUUCUGCAUCGGUGGAUGAAGAAUCACGAACAUAAGAAUUUCUGGUUUAGCAUGUUCCCAGAAAGAAGAUACUUUUUUUCCAUUCGAGAAACGAGGAGCACGACUGAAGUGGCUAUACAUACAAAUCCAUUUACGGAUCUAUAUGCUCCGAUUGGAACUGGAAGUUCCAGAACUGGCGGCUGGUAUACCACCAUAAUGAAAUUGCCUUUUAUUUUUAGUAUUCGGAUAGGAUUUCUGUUGGCUUCAUCGGGAGGCUCGCGUAGUUUGUUACGUCAACUCCUAAAGGAUAAGUUGCAUUGGAAUCGAGAAAGUUUCGUUCAUAAUUGCAUAAAAGGAGUAAAAAUAGUGGCUGCGGCGCGUCGAGGGUCAACCUUUGAUAUCGAAUAA